UGAAGGAGUUAUCCCCAAAAUUGAAAUAUUGGUGGUGGGCAAUGAGGAGACCUCCAUCACCACCCUCUUGCUCUUGGGCAAUCCUUCGGCGACUGUGGACUUGGGGAGAGUAGGCUCCCCUUCAGCUUCUUCCCCUCAUCCUCAUCUAGGAAGGAGAGAUCAGCCUCAGGGAUCCGAGUAACAACUCAAUGGUCGCAAUCCUCAUAUCCAGUCUCAUACCCCAC
rnacentral:lncRNA from 1 species